rnacentral:rRNA from 1 species
UGGGGAAUUUUGGACAAUGGGGGAAACCCUGAUCCAGCCAUGCCGCGUGAGUGAAGAAGGCCUUCGGGUUGUAAAGCUCUUUCAGCCGGAACGAAACGGUUACGGUUAAUACCCGUGACUACUGACGGUACCGGCAGAAGAAGCACCGGCUAACUACGUGCCAGCAGCCGCGGUAAUACGUAGGGUGCGAGCGUUAAUCGGAAUUACUGGGCGUAAAGGGUGCGCAGGCGGUUUUGUAAGUCAGAUGUGAAAUCCCCGGGCUUAACCUGGGAACUGCGUUUGAAACUACAAGGCUAGAGUGUAGCAGAGGGGGGUGGAAUUCCGCGUGUAGCAGUGAAAUGUGUAGAUAUGCGGAGGAACACCGAUGGCGAAGGCAGCCCCCUGGGUUAACACUGACGCUCAGGCACGAAAGCAUGGGGAGCAAACAGGAUUAGAUACCCUGGUAGUCCAUGCCCUAAACGAUGUCAACUAGUUGUCGGGCCUUAACGGGCUUGGUAACGUAGCUAACGCGUGAAGUUGACCGCCUGGGGAGUACGAUCGCAAGAUU